rnacentral:rRNA from 1 species
AAUGAACGCUGGCGGCGCGCCUAAUACAUGCAAGUCGAGCGAGAAGACGUAGCAAUACGUUUGUAAAGCGGCGAACGGGUGAGGAAUACAUGGGUAACCUACCCUCGAGUGGGGAAUAACUAGCCGAAAGGUUAGCUAAUACCGCGUACGCUCCUUGGACUUCGGUUCAGGGAGGAAAGCGAUGCCGUGGGUAUCGCGCUCCUGGAUGGGCUCAUGUCCUAUCAGCUUGUUGGUGAGGUAACGGCUCACCAAGGCUACGACGGGUAGCUGGUCUGCGAGGACGAUCAGCCACACUGGCACUGCGACACGGGCCAGACUCCUACGGGAGGCAGCAGUAAGGAAUAUUGCGCAAUGGGCGAAAGCCUGACGCAGCGACGCCGCGUGGGGGAUGAAGGUCUUCGGAUUGUAAACCCCUUUCGGGAGGGAAGAUGGAAUGGGGUAACCCAUUUGGACGGUACCUCCAGAAGCAGCCACGGCUAACUUCGUGCCAGCCGCCGCGGUAAAAC